GCCUUUGUGGCAUAAUGGUCAAAUACAUUCGGCGCGUAUUCGAGAGGUCUGUGGUUUGAGUCCCGGCGAGGGCA
rnacentral:tRNA from 1 species